UAAGCCAACUUUGGGUUGAUG
rnacentral:siRNA from 1 species